GCCUGAAAGUUAUUUGCUGAUCAUAUAACUGCUUAAAUCCAGCUUGCUCCAAAACGAAUACAAAUGUGUGAAUGCUGCAAUAAUAGAUGUCCAGGUUAACCUGUGC